rnacentral:pre_miRNA from 1 species
CAAAUACUCUCUGUCCGAAAAUAUUUGUCGUAGAAAUGGAUGUAUCUAGAUGUAUAUUAAUUCUAGAUGCACCUAUUUUAAUUUAUUUUUACGAUAAGUAAUUUUGAACGGAGGAAGUAGUAC